ACGGAAGGCAGCAGUGGGGAAUUUUGCGCAAUGGGGGAAACCCUGACGCAGCAACGCCGCGUGCGGGAUGACGGCCUUCGGGUUGUAAACCGCUUUCAGUAGGGAAGAUAAUGACGGUACCUACAGAAGAAGCUCCGGCUAACUACGUGCCAGCAGCCGCGGUAAUACGUAGGGAGCAAGCGUUAUCCGGAUUCAUUGGGCGUAAAGCGCGCGUAGGCGGCUUGUUAAGUCAGGUGUUAAAGCCUGGGGCUCAACCCCAGCCCGCACCUGAAACUGGCAGGCUUGAGUUCGGUAGGGGAAAGUGGAAUUCCCAGUGUAGCGGUGAAAUGCGCAGAUAUUGGGAAGAACACCGGUGGCGAAGGCGGCUUUCUGGGCCGUAACUGACGCUGAGGCGCGAAAGCUAGGGGAGCAAACAGGAUUAGAUACCCUGGUA
rnacentral:rRNA from 2 species